rnacentral:rRNA from 1 species
CAGUCGCCGCGGUAAGACAGAGGAUGCAAGCGUUAUCCGGAAUGAUUGGGCGUAAAGCGUCUGUAGGUGGCUUUUCAAGUCCGCCGUCAAAUCCCAGGGCUCAACCCUGGACAGGCGGUGGAAACUACCAAGCUGGAGUACGGUAGGGGCAGAGGGAAUUUCCGGUGGAGCGGUGAAAUGCGUUGAGUUCGAAAAGAACACCAACGGCGAAAGCACUCUGCUGGGCCGACACUGACACUGAGAGACGAAAGCUAGGGGAGCAAAUGGGAUUAGAUACCCCUGUAGUCCCUGUCUCUUAUAC